rnacentral:tRNA from 1 species
GGGGGCGUAGCUCAGAUGGUAGAGCGCUCACUUAGCAUGCGAGAGGUACCGGGAUCGAUACCCGGCGCCUCCA